UCCGGUUAAAAUUCCGGAACC
rnacentral:snRNA from 1 species